GGUGGUUUCACGAUCUCAAAAAUGACUCACCUAGAUUUUUGGGCUACAGUCUCUUGUAUUAAAAACGAGAAAGAUGCAGUAAAAACAUCUAUUGAGCGGGAUUUUUGUUUUAAGAGAUUGGCUCAAUGUGAAUAUGGGCUGUUAGUCUGAAGGAGUUUGCGUAUAGAACAGGUAUAACCACACUUUAUCAAAGUGCUACGCAGAAAGGC